UAAUUUUUAUGAUGAAAAAGUAAAACAUGCCUUAUAUUUUACCAAAAAAGUAAUGCAGUCCUAGUAUAGUAAGUGUGGGAAAUUCAGAAAAUAAUAGGAAGGAAAAAAUCAUCACUCAUAAUUUGCCCCUGUUCCCUUCCCUAAAAUAAAUAUUGCUAGCAUUUUGGGUUGUUUUCUUCCUUAAGUUUUUCUUUGCAUUAAAGAAAUGAUAACUAGAUCUUUAACAUUCACAGAGUUAAUGUUCACAAUUUCUAAUAUUCCCAAGCAGCCUUGGAAGCUCAUGACAUGUAUAAAAUUAUAAUUUUGCUGAGGCACAAAUUUCAGUUGCUCGUGUCAUGCUGCAAAUCUGGGGUUUGCAAGUAACACACUUAACUGGCAAGUGACCUACCCAGCUGUCCUGAGUUCCCAUUUCAAUAAAGCUUUGUGGUGCUUUUACAGUAACUUUUGUAAGGGUCUGAAAAUUAUGUUAAAAAUACAUCUGUACUUUGCUGUACUUUUGGAAGACGCAGUAAGGUAAGGCAUCUUCCAUGGAUGUCAAGGCCAGUUGGAGCUUUAUGUAGAUUUUUGUAGCCCUCAUUUUUAGAUAUCAUUAUAAUGAGUGUGCCUCCCAUACUAUUAAAAAUGUUAUAAAUAUUUUUCAUGGCUGUGUAAUAUUUUAUCAUGUACCUUGAUUUACUGAAGCAUUUUUUUAUUACUGGGAAUUGUUAAUUGUUUGGGAUUUUUCUACUGUUAUAAGAAGUAUAACCAUUCGCAUCUUUGAGGGGAAAGCAUUUUCUUCAUUUUGGAUUGUUUCCUUAAAAGGAGAAUCCCAGAUGGGCCAUUGUAAGGUCAGUGGACAUAUACAUUUUUAAAACAUUUGCCAAACUGCUUUCCAGAAGAAUUCUGCUGUUUUCUUAAAGGAUACCCUUUACCAGCAAUGUGAGAAAGUGCCUCGGCCACAAUACUCUCAUCAGUAUCAUUUGUUGAAUUCAUUGUUUAUUUGACAAGUAAAAAAGUCUCAUUGUUUUAAUUGCAUUUCUUUGAUUAUUAAUGAGUUGAAUAUUUGUCUAUAUAUCUAAUGUCUUAUAUUUUCCUUUUUGUAAAUGGCCUAAUAUUUUAAAAGUGAUCCAUUAUUAUUAAACGUUAAGGGAAAUUUUUCCUUAAUAUUUUUUUGUUGAGUGUUCUGAGGAAUUUGAGUGUUAGUUCUUAGAAAUGGUCCAUGAAAAGGGUACCAGUUCAUUCACAGUGGGGUCCAGGGGAGGGAAAGCGGUUUUCUGUUUUCAUCUCCUUAAGAUUCAUUUAAUGUAAGCUCUAGGAAGUCCUGCAUUGGAGAAACCUGUGUCACCUGUGCUUCCAUCUCCUUUUGCCCCAAACUCCUUUCAUUCCAUGAUAAAUAUCAGCAUUCUGAGAUAGCAGUGUUUCCUGGAACACACUUUUGGAAAUGCUGUUUCGGAAGAAAGGUGGGAAAUUGUGUUUAUAAUGACUAAAUCAUUUUUUUUUUUUUAGAGGCAGAUUUACUUACUGGCAAAUGUAUUCCAGAGGUCACAGUAAAUGGAAGGAAUAACUAAUAGAAACAGUUCCCUUGAUCACUACACUCACUGUGAAAAGAAGCUUAGAUGUCAGGGGAUUCUGUCAUAAAAGAAGUGAUUUACUCUUUGAUGAAUGAGUUAGGAGGUCACCUUGGGUCUGUUCAUCGAUUUCUGAUUCACAGUUACCUUUAGUCAAACAUUCAGGUUUUCACUCAAAUUUGAAAGGUGUCUUUAAUAAAUAGAAUUGUAUAAUAUGUAGGCUCUUCACAGGUUUGAAUUGGAGAUUUACUCACAUUUUUUUCCCUCCAUAUGCUCCAGUCCAAAAAAAAAAGAGAAAGUCAGCAAAACAAAGAAUUUAGUACACUUUUUAAAACAAGUGAUUCAGGAAAGUUUAUAAAAGUGUAGAUACAAUCUGCGCAUAUGGGAGACUGGAUCAUUACCCUGUAAAAUUGGUGAACCUUUCUCCUGGGCCAUUGCUCCAGCAGGACUCUGCCUCUUGGGAUGUCAGAGACUGAGAUCAGUAACAUGUUUUAGUUGGAGUCUAUGUCUCUUGAACCCAGGACUCUUUCUUUUUCCCACUUUUGUUAAAAGAAUUAUGACACAUAUGAUAGGAAAUCUGCCUACAAUUUUGUUUGCAAGGUGUUAGUCACUAGAUUAGAACAGAAAGAGUUUUUAUUUAAAGAAACAGAACCUACCAUCUGCCCCAGGGCCAAAACCUUCUCCCAUACAAAAGUCACUGGGAGGUUGGGAAGCAAGAUAGGCUUCGAGCGUGUGUGUGUGUGUGUGUGUGUGUGUGUGUGUGCGUGCGUGCGUGUGUGUGUGUGUGUAUCUCUGUCUCUGUGGUGUGGGAGACCAAGGGAGAGAAGGAUGUUUAUGUGGGAGCCUGGUGGUAGAGGCUCAGCAUGGGAUGUCAGAACUCAAAUAGGAUAUAGAAGAAUCCAUGUGAGAAGGGAGGCAGCAGCAGUGACCCAGUGCUGGUGUGUUGGAUCCUGAGGUAAGGAAGGCAUUUGUGUGAGGGGGUGGAUGGUAGAGGCCCAGCCCUGGAUGUCAGUGUCAAGGAGGGCACAGAGGGCAUCUGGAUGGUGAAGGAGGCAAGGAUGGCAAUAGAAGAGUGUUUCCAUACAAAUAAGCAAUUAUAUAAAGAAAAUACAGGCAAGGUUUUUCACUUUCAUAGAAUGAAGUCACAGAUACAUAAAGGGAGAAAACUAGAAUAAUUCCUAUGUUGGAUUGGAAUAGGAGCCAUCAGUGUGAACCCAUGUCUUUGAAUAUGGGAAGAUGGAUAUAGAAAUAAAUAAGAGAUGUGAUGUGCCUCUUGUGGUUCCAUGUGUGUGUGAUGCAUUCCCUGGCUCCAUUGACUGAAAGGACCUGGAAUGUGCAACAGUAGGGAGCAGUGAGUACACAUGGUGCCCAGAUGUUGGUUUCUAAAAACCAUUCCCUACUAAUAGAAACCAGGAUUCACUGAAGAAAUCACCUGAUUCUGGGGCUGAGGCAGAGAAAGUAUAAGAUAAAUCUGAAAUAUCUUUUGUGCCAAAAAGUAAGGAAUUGCUAAAAACGUGAUGGGAACAUGUCAGAAGGACACAGAAGCAGUAAGAGGGCUCCCACUAGUCAUAUCUGGAACAAUUUGAGCAUCAGAACAAAUUAGGAUAGUAAAGGAUUAUAGCACACUGAAUAAAACAGGAAACUAUGGACCCAUGGUAAUAUAAAUAAGUAGAUGGAUACAUUGAAAGUUUGACGAAUGGGAUAUUUACUUAAAGUGUCAAUCCAUGAAAUGGUUAUUUAUUACAAAGAGAAAGAGUAGUGUUACUGUAGAGAUAUCAAAUGAGUUAAAUGAUGAAAGCAAACAUCAUCAGUGAAGGGACAAAUUGAAAUCAGACAUUAGACAAAACAUUAGGCAAUUGAAAGUUUUUCUACAAAAUGGGUGGUCUCAUUGUCAAGGUCAUACAAAUCUAGGAAAGACUGAGGAGCUGUUCCAGAUUCAGGAUGAGUAGAGAGUUAUCACUACUAACACUGCAACAGGUGAUCCUGAACUGGAUUGUUUGCUGUCAAGGAUAUUAUUGGCACAGUUGGCAAAACAUGACAGGAUCUGAGGAUGAGAUGAUAAUUCUGCAUCAAUGUUAAUUUCCUUAUUAUUAUGAUUCUCUUAGUUUGUUUUCUGCUGCUGUAACAGAAUACCACAGAAUAGGUAAUUUAUAAAGAAAACAGAUCUAGUUGGCUCACAGUUCUGGAGGCUGGGAAGUCCAAGAGCCUGGUGCUGGCAUCUGGUGAGGACCUUCUUGCUGGGUCAUAACAUGCAGCACUCGAGACAAGAGACACAAGUUGGGGGUCAAACUUUUAUCAGAAGCCCACAUUAAUCCAUGGCAUAAUCGUCUUAAAGGUUCUGCCUCUUAAUACUGUUACAAUGACAAAUCGUCAACACAUGAACUUUUGGGGGAAACAUUCAAACCACAAGAAUGAUUAAUUGUGAUAAUUUAGGAGAAAGUUUGUAUCUAUGGAUGAUGGGACAUAAUCUUGACAACUCAUUCUCAAAUAGUUCAGGAAAUAACUGUUCAGUAAGUUUGAGAUUGUUUCAGAGCAAAACUGAACACAUGCAAACACAUACCCUCAAGUUCAUCUCUCUGAGAAGCUUGUUUGAUUUGUCAGAGCUCAGAUUGAAACAAGCUUGUAGUCUGGGUGCAUCUUCUUUUUCCUUUCCUUAAAUUCACUACUUAAAUAGACAGCUAUAGUGAAGCAAGGAGGGCUCUGAAGCCUGCAUUUCACCCCUUAGCUGUGCAACUUUCUAACAGGCUAAUUUGAGACAAGUUGCUUCACCUUUUGGAGCCUCAGUUUUCACAUCUGUGAAGUGGGUAUUUGGGAGGGUCAAACAGAGGAUGAGUGGAUACAGAUAUACAAUUAGCAGUAUUAUAUUAGUACAGAGAAUUCCACAGGGUGGGAGAAAUGGCAUUUGGAUAAUUCUGUGAGCAGUGCUCUUGUUCUUUUGAGCAUUUUAGAGGUGAAUUCAUUUUCAAUCAAAUAAUUUGUAUUGCUUUGUAUGUCAUUAUGUUGCUCAAUUUCAUGAGUUAAAAUGCAUAGCUACCGUCCUAUAUUGCAUGCUGUUGUACUUAGUUCAUUUCUUUCUUUCCAUAAUUGGAGGCUGCCAUGUGUACCCAGUGAACAUUCAAUGAAAUUAAUUGAGGGUAAUGAUGAUGAAGACAAGAUCUACACUGUCAUCGUUAUUUCUCCCAGCCACCCCCACCCUGUAAG